ACCUGGCCAGGCAUUCCAACUGU
ensembl:miRNA mir-358 ncRNA